AUAUGUACCUGGCAGGGGAGAUACUAUGAUCACGAAGGUGAUAUUCCUAGGGUGAGGCUUAUCCAUUGCACUCCAAAUGUGCUGACCCCUGCACUUUCCCCUGAAAAAAAAUUGAAAAAUAAAGC
rnacentral:snRNA from 1 species